UACGUAGGGAGCAAGCGUUGUCCGGAAUCAUUGGGCGUAAAGCGCGCGUAGGCGGCUUCGCAAGUCAGAGGUGAAAGCCCGGGGCUCAACCCCGGAACUGCCUUUGAGACUGCGUCGCUAGAAUCCAGGAGAGGUGAGUGGAAUUCCGAGUGUAGAGGUGAAAUUCGUAGAUAUUCGGAAGAACACCAGUGGCGAAGGCGGCUCACUGGACUGGUAUUGACGCUGAGGUGCGAAAGCGUGGGGAGCAAACAGG
rnacentral:rRNA from 1 species